CGCGGGGUGGAGCAGCCUGGUAGCUCGUCGGGCUCAUAACCCGAAGGUCGUCGGUUC
rnacentral:tRNA from 1 species